AACGAACGCUGGCGGCAGGCUUAACACAUGCAAGUCGAGCGCACUCUUCGGAGCUAGCGUCGGACGGGUUAGUAACGCGUGGGAACGUGCCCUUUUCUAAGGAAUAGCCACUGGAAACGGUGAGUAAUACCUUAUACGCCCUUCGGGGGAAAGAUUUAUCGGAGAAGGAUCGGCCCGCGUUAGAUUAGAUAGUUGGUGGGGUAACGGCCUACCAAGUCUACGAUCUAUAGCUGGUUUUAGAGGAUGAUCAGCAACACUGGGACUGAGACACGGCCCAGACUCCUACGGGAGGCAGCAGUGGGGAAUCUUGGACAAUGGGCGCAAGCCUGAUCCAGCCAUGCCGCGUGAGUGAUGAAGGCCUUAGGGUCGUAAAGCUCUUUCGCCAGAGAUGAUAAUGACAGUAUCUGGUAAAGAAACCCCGGCUAACUCCGUGCCAGCAGCCGCGGUAAUACGGAGGGGGUUAGCGUUGUUCGGAAUUACUGGGCGUAAAGCGCACGUAGGCGGAUCAGAAAGUAUGAGGUGAAAUCCCAGGGCUCAACCCUGGAACUGCCUUGUAAACUCCUGGUCUUGAGUUCGAGAGAGGUGAGUGGAAUUCCGAGUGUAGAGGUGAAAUUCGUAGAUAUUCGGAGGAACACCAGUGGCGAAGGCGGCUCACUGGCUCGAUACUGACGCUGAGGUGCGAAAGUGUGGGGAGCAAACAGGAUUAG
rnacentral:rRNA from 1 species